UUGCAGCGGGUAUAGUUUAGUGGUAAA
rnacentral:tRNA from 1 species